AGAUUUAGCCCAAAGAUUAAAGCCUGUGCUCUGAUGUGCUUAUCAAAACACCCCACAAAGAGACUGACAUAAUUAGGUGACAACUCAGCCCACGGCAGCUCUUUCAACUUGCAAAAAUAUUUAAUCUCCAAUAAGAAAAUGUGGUUUCUGAGUAUUAAAUUGCCAGCCUUAAGCGCUGGUGGUGGUGGUGGAGGGACUGACAGCUUAUUUAUUAAUCAGAGGAUGUUUUAGAGCACCUUGCUUAGUGAUACUAAAGGGUUGGAUAGGGCUGGCAACAGCCCCGAAUUAGCAAAGUUUAUUUUAAAACUAGAAAUCCAAUAUAUUAUCUGAGCUGAGUGGAUCAGUUUGAGAGAUUUAAUAACCAGCCUGCUGGGGGAAGGGGUAUUUCAAAAGGAACUCAGAGGUGGAGAAGGACUAAAGGAUCUCUUUCAAUCCACUCAAUGAUCCCAGGGUGGUUUUUUUUUCCCAACCUUAAAAAUUCUUGAUCUUCAGAUAAAAAUUCAUUUUAAUCCAAAUGCAGCAGAGGAGCCCAAGGAAGUGAAGAACAAACCAAGAUUUUUAGGGAGUGUCUCCCUCACAAUGAAAGCUUUUCCACAGGCAGGAAAUGUUUUAAGAUCCUCUCAGGACGAGGAGCAGCUCCCCUCCUGUCUCCACCGAUAAUUCUGCAUCCAAAUGGGUUAAUUCCUGUUCCCUUCCCCUGGAAUCUCAGCAAUACCAGCACGGAAACAAUACCUGCACUUAACAUUUGCCCCCUGCUUUUUGAUCCCCUUUUUUUUUCCCCCCCCCUCUACUAAUCUGAGCCCUUGAUAGAUCAAUAUAUAAAUUAAAAUACAAAAGAACCUGCCACAUCCACCGUGGCUGGGGGAAAACAGACAAAGCCAGACUUUCUGGUGGAAAAACAUCCAUCUUUUAUACAACAAACCAGCAAUCUGCUGCUCUACGCCAAAAUCAACACCCUGAGAGGCGCUCUCAUGUGAUGGGCAACACAAGGGCUUUGUUUUAAUGAAAUUAAAAAUAAAUAACCCUCCCAAAACA
rnacentral:lncRNA from 1 species